rnacentral:rRNA from 1 species
UACGUAGGGGGCUAGCGUUGUCCGGAAUCAUUGGGCGUAAAGCGCGUGUAGGCGGUUCGGUAAGUCCGCUGUGAAAGUCGGGGGCUCAACCCUCGAAUGCCGGUGGAUACUGUCGGACUAGAGUACGGAAGAGGCGAGUGGAAUUCCUGGUGUAGCGGUGAAAUGCGCAGAUAUCGGGAGGAACACCUAUGGCGAAGGCAGCUCGCUGGGACGUUACUGACGCUGAGACGCGAAAGCGUGGGGAGCAAACAGG